GCGGGUUUAGCUCAGCUGGUUAGAGCGCCUGGUUGUGGUCCAGGAGGUCGUGGGUUCAAAUCCCAUAAUCCGCC
rnacentral:tRNA from 1 species